GAUUUCUGGCGUGGUGCCUUCCGUCCGCCGCUGUCAAGCGUGUGAGUAUGGGGGUUCGUGCCUGCCAUCCUUCUAGGGAGUGAGUCUGCCCUUUACUGGGUCGGGCUCGCGACCUGGAUCGUUUACUUUGAAAAAAUUAGAGUGUUUAAAGCAGGCGAUUGCCUCUGAAUACAUUAGCAUGGAAUAAUAAAAUAGGACUUUGGUUCUAUUUUGUUGGUUUCUAGGACUGAAGUAAUGAUUGAUAGGGACAGUUGGGGGUGCUAGUAUUCGACGGCCAGAGGUGGAAUUCUUGGAUUCGUUGAAGACUAACUAAUGCGAAAGCAUU
rnacentral:rRNA from 1 species